ensembl:snRNA U6 U6 spliceosomal RNA
GUGCUCCCUUUAGCAACACACGCACUAAAAUUAGAAUAAUAAAGAGAAUAUUAGCACGGGCCCUGCACAAAGAUGAUAUGCAAAUUCAUGAAGUGUUCCAGAUUUUU